AUGCAUCAAAUGUCAAUGGGCCUCUAUCGUUUCUUAGCGGCAAUAGGAAGGACACAAGUAAUGUCCAACAUGCUAAGUGUCAUAAUUCUUAUAGCAAUCUACAUAUUUGGAGGCUUCGUCAUAUCCAAAGAUAAUCUCCAACCAUGGUUGCAGUGGGGGUAUUGGGCAUCCCCAUUCACAUACGCACAAAAUGCAGUUUCCCUAAAUGAGUUCCUUGAUGAAAGAUGGGCUACUGAACUUUAUUAUGCAAAUGCUAAAACAGUUGGUGAAGCUAUCCUCAAGAUUAGAGGGUUGCUCACAGAGUGGCACUGGUACUGGAUUUGUGUCGGUAUUUUAUUUGGAUUCUCAAUUGUGUUCAACAUCCUCACUAUAUUUGCGCUGGAGUUCAUGAAUUCUCCAUACAAUCAUCAAGUUAAGAUCAAUGCCACGAAGAUAGAUCUGGAGUACAAGAACCAAAAAGUUGGAAAUGUCAAUGCAUCAAGUAGUCAAGUUACCCUCCCUUUUCAGCCUCUUUCCCUUGCAUUUUAUCAUAUAAAUUAUUUUUUCGACUUGCCUAAGGAGAUGGUGAAGUAUGGAGUAACAGGAAAAAAUCUUCAACUGCUACAAGAUGUGGGUGGUGUUUUUAGGCCAGGGGUGUUAAAGGCGCUAAUGGGGAUCACAGGUGCUGGAAAGACAACGUUGCUCGAUGUUUUAGCUAGAAGAAAAACUGGAGGACGUAUUGAAGGUACUAUUAGAAUAGCAGGAUACCCAAAGAAGCAAGAAAUAUUCUCAAGGAUCUCAGGCUAUUGUGAACAGAGUGACAUUCACUCCCCUAACCUCACCGUGUAUGAGUCACUACAGUUCUCUGCAUGGCUUCGACUUCCUUCGAACGUUAAAUCUCGCCAAAGACAUAUGCUCAUAGAAGAAGUAAUUGACCUAGUCGAAUUAACUGGACUGAAGAAUUCCAUGGUAGGUCUCGCGGGAACAACUGGUCUUUCAGCCGAGCAGCGAAAAAGGUUAACAAUAGCAGUGGAGUUGGUAGCUAGUCCUUCCAUUAUAUUUAUGGAUGAGCCGACCACAGGUCUGGAUGCUCGUGCUGCAGCAAUUGUCAUGAGAACAGUAAGAAAGACAGUAGACAUUGGGCGAACUGUUGUCUGCACAAUACACCAACCAAGCAUUGAGAUAUUUGAAGCUUUUGAUGAGCUUGUACUCAUGAAAAGAGGUGGUCAGAUCAUAUAUAGUGGCUCAUUAGGUCCACUAUCUGAAAAUAUGAUCAAGUAUUUCCAGGCUAUACCUGGCAUUCCUAUAAUAAAAGAGGGACAAAACCCAGCAGCAUGGGUGCUAAACAUAACUUCACAAUCAGCAGAAUAUGAGAUAGGAGUGGACUACGCACAAAUUUAUCGCAGCUCCUCCCUAUACAUCAAUAACAUGCUUCUAAUUGAUGAGCUGGGGAAAGCAGCGCCAAACACAGAGGAUCUAAAAUUUCCAUCGGGAUAUUGGCAAGACUUUAGAGCACAAUGCAUGGUUUGCCUAUGGAGGCAAAUAUAUGCAUAUUGGAAAAAUCCAGAACACAAUCUUGUUCGGUUUCUGAACACAUUGAUUCUUCCAAUUAUGUUUGGAAUUGUUUUCUGGAAAAUUGGCUCAACCAUAAAACAACAACAAGACAUACUCAACAUACUGGGAGUAGUAUAUGGAUCGUGA
rnacentral:rRNA from 1 species